rnacentral:lncRNA from 1 species
GUGAUUAUAGAAAUUCUGUGAAUCUAGAUUGAUUGGAGUGAAGUCUGUUAUUCCUCGUGUUGGAUGGAAUUUAUGAGUUUUAAGCAGUCUUUUAAGAGUGCAAGGUUGCACAAUGUUGUUAUCAAUUGAUGAAGGAGUAUUGUUACUGGAAGGAAGUAUUGUAGUGUUUCUUGGUGUUUUAGUAGUUUGGAUUACAAUUAACUAUGUGACCCUAACAAGUAAAGCUCAUGCGCUUAGUCUUUCCCUAUGUUCGAAUUUCCCUAUACAAGUUUAUUCUGAAAGGAAUUUGUAAAAUAAGUAAAAUGACAAUUACAAUAUGUGUUGAUAUUGCCAUUGAAUUAUAGUAAUGUUGAGGCCCACUUG